GAAAUGCGAUAAGUAAUGUGAAUUGCAGAAUUCAGUGAAUCAUCGAAUCUUUGAACGCACCUUGCGCUCCUUGGUAUUCCUUGGAGCAUGCCUGUUUGAGUAUCAUGAAAUCUUCAAAGUAAAUCUUUUGUUAACUCAAUUGGUUUCUACUUUGGUAUUGGAGGUCUUUGCAGCUUCACACCUGCUCCUCUUUGUUCAUUAGCUGGAUCUCAGUGUUAUGCUUGGUUCCACUCGGCGUGAUAAGUUAUCUAUCGCUGAGGACACUGUAAAAGGUGGCCAAGGUAAAUGCAGAUGAACCGCUUCUAAUAGUCCAUUGACUUGGACAAUACUUUUAUGAUCUGAUCUCAUAUCAAGUAGGACUACCCGCUGAACUUAAGC
rnacentral:misc_RNA from 1 species